rnacentral:lncRNA from 7 species
UUACAGAAAUGCAACUGUACAGUUUGAACCCAACGCAAGACUCAAGUAUCCUCUCUCCUAAUUAGCAAAGGAACACGAUAAGUGUGACCGGAGCUGUGUGUGGCCAGAGUUUUUCAGAGUUUUUCCUGAUCUGACCCCAGGAAUUGCUCCUUUUUCUUUUUUCCCCAGAAAUAUAGAAAGAUGGAGACAUAAAAAAAAAAAAAAAAAAAAAAAGAACGUAUUAGCUAUUUUUAUCACUCAAGCCAUUUUGGUCAAAACUGACUUUUUAGAGAUGAAAGCCCAGCAAUCUAGAUACAGAUGGAUAAGAAAAAGGCUAUUUCUUCUCCCACAGCAAUUCUUUAUGUCUUGAGAUGUCAACAACCUUAUUGUGCCUACUGGGGAUGAAGUGGUGUUGUGAAAUAAGAGGGAAAAAGAGUUCCUCCAAAGAGCCACAGCCUUAUGGUUGAGGCACUGAACUGAGAUCUGCAGGUCUGUAGAAAAUGCAAGUAGAAAGGCUUCAAGAAAGCAUCUAUUCUAUUCCACCCAGAGAUAGGAUUAAUCACAUCGUAUCUGUCCUUUGAAAUUGCCAGUGUUAGAGAACCCUUGGUUUUAGAAUGGAAACUGAACUGCUUAAUGGGCUUUCCUGAUGAAAUGUGCUUUGUUCUGUUUUGCUUUGUUUUCCUAGUGUUUAUCCUACAUCUUUCUCUCAGGUAUAUCUACCCACAGUGAAGAGAAAAGAUUCACCUCAAGUUACAAGUUUGAAUGGUUCAGAAGUAAAUUACCACAAAAAUGCAGAUGGAACCUGUAAUACUUGCCUCCACAUCAUUCAUCCAGCGGUUUGGGAGCCGCAGAUCAGCGUGUGAAAGACAGCAGUUAAAAUACAGGGCCCAUUCCUAUCUCCUCUGCUAUGCACUGGUGUAAAUCAAGCCUAAGACUCAUGAACCCAAUGGAGUGUAAAAUUGGUGUGAGUGAGAAUCAGUGCCAUCUCCUGUACCUAUAUGUCAGAUAAAAUGUUUGUUUCAAGUGUUUAUAGACACUGUUAUCAUAAAUAGCUUAUUUUCUUAUACAUUAAAUAGAUCAAAAGAAACCAGAGUAAUUUUCUAACACGACUAAAAUAAACGCAUAUAUUUAUUGCCAUG